UACAGAGGGUGCGAGCGUUGUUCGGAAUUAUUGGGCGUAAAGGGCGCGUAGGCGGUGCGGUAAGUCACCUGUGAAAUCUCCUGGCUCAACUGGGAGCUUGCAGGCGAAACUGCCGUGCUGGAGUGUGGGAGAGGUGCGUGGAAUUCCCGGUGUAGCGGUGAAAUGCGUAGAUAUCGGAAGGAACGCCGGUGGCGAAAGCGACGGACUGGAUCUCUUCUGACGCUGAGGCGCGAAAGCCAGGGGAGCAAACGGG
rnacentral:rRNA from 1 species